rnacentral:tRNA from 1 species
GGUGGCUCAAUGGUAGAGUGUUUGCCUUGCAUGCAUGAGGCCCUGGGUUCGAUUCCUCAGUACCG